rnacentral:lncRNA from 1 species
UUGUUUUACCGAGGUUCGGUUCUUGCAAACCUACUCCCCGUUGAGGAGGCCACAAAGGCCGGGUCUCUUUCAACCCUUCCCUCUCUCAAACGAUCCCACAGAUCGAGUGAGCUUUCUCUUCUCAAUCACUUGGAACACAAAGUUCCUACAAGGACCACCACAAGUUUGGUGUCUCUUGCCUCAAUUACAAGUGAGUUUGAUCGCAAUGAAAGAAUCGAGAAAGAAGAAAGCAAUCCAAGCGCAAGAGCUCGAAAGAACACAAGCAAAUCACUCUCUCUAGUCACUAUGGCGUUGUGUGGAAUUUGGAGAGGAUUUGAUCUCUUUGGUGUGUCUAGAAUUGAAUGCUAGAGCUCUUGUAGUAGUUGGGAAGUGGAAAACUUGGAUGCAAUGAAUGGUGGGGUGGUUGGGGUAUUUAUAGCCCCAACCACCAAAAGUGGCCGUUGGGAGCCUGUCUGCUCGAUGGCGCACCGGACAGUCCGGUGCACACCGGACAUGUUCGGUGCCCCCGCCACGUCAUCACUGCCGUUGGAUUCUGACCGUUGAAGCUUCUGACUUGUGGGCCCGCCUGGGUGUCCGGUGCACACCGGACACGUACUGUUUAUUGUCCGGUGUGCCAGUAUGGGCACGCCUGACUUCUGCGCGCGCAGAGCGCGCAUUAAUUGCGACGCAGGUAGCCGUUGGCGCCGAAUAGCCGUUGCUCCGGAGUUGCACCGGACAGUCCGGUGCACACCGGACAUGUCCGGUGAAUUAUAGCGGACUAGCCGUUGGAGUUUCCCGAAGCUGGCGAGUUCCUGAGGCCGACUUCCCUUGGAGCACCGGACACUGUCCGGUGUACACCGGACAGUCCGGUGAAUUAUAGCGGAGUCGCCUCUGGAAAUUCCCGAAGGUGCCGAGUUUGCGUUGGAGUCCUCUGGUACACCGGACAUGUCCGGUGGUGCACCGGACACUGUCCGGUGGCUCUCCGGACAGUCCGGUGCGCCAGACCAGAGGUGCCUUCGGUUGGCCCUGUGCUCUUUUGUUGAAUCCAACACUUGAUCUUUUUAUUGGCUGAGUGUGAACCUUUAGCACCUGUAUAAUCUAUACACUUGGGCAAACUAGUUAGUUCAAUUAUUUGUGUUGGGCAAUUCAACCACCAAAAUUAUUUAGGGACUAGGUGUAAGCCUAAUUCCCUUUCAGUUAGUUUGAUAAACAAUUUGUUUGAAUAGUGGUCAUGCAUGUAAACACUGCCGUUAUUAUCCAAACCCGUUACACGACUUCGUCAACGAGUUUUUCGCUUCUGGAGGUAGUGGUCACAACUCCAACGACCCCGAUAUGUGAUGGUUUGAGUUUUAUGCUGAAUUGUGCGUUGUAAUGGACUAUUUGUGAACUUUAUGUUAUAUGGACUAUUUGUGAACUCUGAUGUUGUAAUGGACUCCAACUUUAUGUUGUGGGCUAUUUGUGAAUUGUGCAAUUGUGGAUUUAAUGUUUCUGUCAUUUUAUUGUGAUUAUAUUGUUGAUGAAUUUGUUGUAAUUUUUUUUGAAUUUUUUUUAAAAAAAAUUCUCUGAAAUUAUUAAUUUUCGGCGGCCUAUGUGGGCCGCCGAAAAUAAGCGUGACUAUUUUCGGAAGCCUUUAAUUUCCGACGACUCGUGACCAACCGCCGAAAAAUGCUUAUUUUCGGCAGCCCGGUGCCAGCCGCCGAAAUUCAAUGGUUAUUUUCGGCGGCUGCUCUGUUGGCCGCCGAAAAUAAGCUAAAUCCGGCGGUUGGUCGCUGGCUGCCGAAAAUAAAGGCUUAUUUUCAGCUGAUUUUUUCUGGUGGCCAGGAACCGCCGAAAAUAAGCCUAAAGCCGCCGAAAAUAGCUUAUUUUCGGCGGCAAAGGCCUUAUUUUGGGAAAUAGCUUAUUUUCGGCGGCAAAUAGCUUAUUUUCUAGCCGCCGAAAAUGACUGUAGCUGUUGUAGUGAAAGUGGAAUUUAGGGUGGUGGCUGAGCACAUUAGCACUAGGGACUUAGUGAAGGAAUAUUUAGCAAACAAAACUUUCCCAACCUCUAGUGGAUGGGGAAUGCCGAAACAAAAGGAAGAGGGAAAAAGUAUAAACUUGUAUGCCUUCCUUAUCGGUUCAAAUUCCAAAAACGAUUCAGCAAACCAUGCACUAAAUGGUUGGAGCUGAUAGAAACAGUGUGCAACGAAAUUCUCGAGAACUACAUGAAGAAAGAAGAUCAGCUGAUGACUGCUGCCUUCGGCACCCGGCCAAAACGAAGGUUGAACCGUGUAAUGAAUGCCCUUAACUUUGAGUACCCUGACUAUGAAAGGCUUGAUAAAGGGGUCGGAGGAGUCAAAAGAAAAAGGGUUGUCAGUAUUCGGAGCAGGCAAGUUAUCCGGUCUGUCAAGGAAGACUAAGAGACUUCGAAGAAGAUAAAAACAGUGCCGGAGCCGAAGGUAUUGGCUCUUAAAGAACGGAAGCUUGCCGAGAAAUCCUCUGAGAAGACGAAGAUGCAAGAUGUGGCGAAGCAAACUGCAAGCCCUUCGUCUUCUGCUGCGGAGGUCUCAUAAAUAUUGAAGGUAAUGACCGAGUCUUUCCCAUUCGCACCGCUAAGUCCUCUGGAAUUGGAACUGACUAGCCUCUUAUAUAAAAACGAAAUCUCUUCGGCUGCUGAUGGGAGAGAUGGGGGCCAGAAGAAACGACGCAUGAUGAAUAUACUGGAAGCCAUUGAACAAACCCCGCCCCUAGCCUCGGCAGACAAAGCUGCUAAAUCGACUGAUGCCAAAGCUACCAUUGCAGCCGAAGAUGAAAAUCUCACAACCACUCUGUCCGAAAUUGACAAGCUCAUAUCAGACAUGGUUGCGGAGAAGGAGGUAGCCGCAGUAGUUUCAGACAAGGGGAAGAAAAUUGAAGAAACCUCUUCGAAAGGAGUGAAUUUCGAUCUACGGCACUUGGGCGGCCAACAGCUCUCCAAAGAAGACAUAUCAGAGCUAAAAGAAUUUGCAAUUUCCUGUGGCUACCAGCCGGGGUCAAUGCUCUUUGGUGGGGUCGAUGAAUAAGUUGUGGGAUGCAUCCGCGACCGUGCCGGUGCUAAAAUUAUAAGCACACUGUCUAAGAGUAUUGGAUUCCCGAAGCUCGAAAAGGACAUCAGCUACCACGGACGUCAGCACGUCAUAGGCAGCUUGUUUUAUUCUAACUUCGAAGUAAAUUCCUUUUUGCAAGUACCACUGAUAUCUCCGUAUUAACUUAAGUAUUUUAAUUUUGAGUUCAUUUUUAUAGAGUUUGUUACUAAGCAAAGCUUUAAAAAUGAAACAAGAUGAUGAGGACAGGAAAAACGAAGUUAUUGUCAAGGGUUUGGAAGAUAAAAUCAAAAAACUUGAGGAUUCUCUAAAAGAAAAAAGAUGAGUUGUUGUGCUUAGCCGAAGAAUCACUUGCCGAAGCGCAAGCUCAGAAUAAGAAAUUGGGCAAAGAACUGGCAGAGGCUCAGACACUUUUGGAAGAAAACUCCAGUCGAUUCAACCGUGAAUCCGAAGCUUUGAAAAUGACACUCAAGGUUGAGGCUGAGAAGAACAUGAAGCUUAGUGAAGCGCUGAGAGCUCUUAAGGAGAGAUGCUUUAAUUUUGCAAGCCAAUGCACCCCUCGAUUGAAAAGUAUAUUCAAUUAAGUUGGAGCUGCAUUCGAGGAGGCUAGCCUCUCUGCCAAAGAUGUCCCCAGGGCACUCGAAUGCGUCGAGAAAGAGGUUGACGUCCUCGACGAAGUCAUAACCGGCCAUGGAGACUUCUGUGCGCUGGUGGCUUCUCGUGGUACUACCGUUGCUUUCAUAAAAGUCGGGUGUAAUCACGCAAGGGCUAUCAACAGGCUGAAUUUCAGCCUUUCAUCAUCGGACCUGGUUGAUGUUCCAGUCAAAGCCCGAAGCAUAGGGAACAGGUUCAUCACUCAAAUUUGGGCUAAGGAUGGCCACGAGUUGGCUAGAAACGAAGCCCAAAACCUACUUAACAAAGUAUAGCUCUUUACCUUUAUUUUUUACCUUAAAUUUUUCCUUACAAGAUUCCUCAUUACCAUGUUCUUCGUCAUUCUUCAGGGUGAUGGCGUUCAAGGUUAAUGAACCAAAGUUAGGUCUGAAGCUUUGAAGUAGUCUUUGUAGGAUUCCCCUUGAUAUCUGUAGAAACACUUUGGAAAUUCUUUUGUGCAAGAAGUGUAAUAUUUUGACGAAGAAUUGUAAUUGAAAUGCGAACAAAAUUGUAAAUAUCUGUAAAUACUUUGUAAUGUUUUUUUACCUUUCAUUCGUGUGCCUACUGCUUUGUUAUGGAUGAAACUAUUGCUCGUCGCUUUUGAGCCGAAGGCAAAAAACACAUUUCCUUCUUUUCGUUCACGACAAAGCACCUCUUGAGUAAAAUCAACGAUCGGGUCUCAUGAACAACGAAAUUUCAUUUGAGACGAACCAUCUUUGUGUAUAUGAAGUGUUAUCUCAUUGAAGGCAGAAGUCCUCGCUUUUCCUGUUAAUGCUUUGUGCUUUAUGCCAUGAUGAUGAAUCUAUGGAUGUCUAAUGUAUGUUUGUAUGAAUGCAAAAGAUGAUGUGAUGAAGUACGCAGAUGUAUGACGAAGGUAAAAACACGCAAAUACACACCCAGACUCUACAUCGCCUUAGGAACGACUUUGGAGUCUCUUCACCUUUUACUUAGGUGGUUAUUCAGCUCUGUAUUCCCUUGGAAACGACUUUUGAGCUAAGCUCUGCAUCCCCUUAGGAACGACUUUGGAGCUUCUUCACCUUUCACUUAGGUGGCAUUCUAGCUCUGCAUCCCCGUAGGGAUGACUUUGGAGCUUCUUCAUACUUUUUUACACUCGAUGGUGUUAUCCCAGAUCCUUACAUUUUACAUGUGGGGGAAUUUGGCCCUUGUAUUGCACAGGGCUGCUCAAAAAUUAAAAAUUACAACCUAUGGCCCAGUUAGAAACAUUUCUCCCAUCUUAAAAGGAAAAGGGUUCCAUAGGAAAAAAAUAAGAAAAUUACAAGAUUUACACAUAAUAUCUCCGGAGUUCAUCUGCAUUCCAUGACCUUGGAAUGUUGUUUCCAUCCAUGUCUUUCAGCCUGUACGAUCCAGGUCUUGAAGAAGACACCACCAAGAAAAGACCUCCCAUUUGAGCUGAAGAUUUCCCACUGUAUCUGGGUUGGCCACCCUCCGAAGCACCAAGUGUCCUGGUUUGAAGUUUUUCAGUCUUACCUUCCGAUCACGCCAUUCAACUGUUUCAGCUUGAUACUUAUUGAUGUGAUCUAUCGCUUGGAGCCUGGUCCCUUCUAUGGUGCUUUUGUUAUUUUGCAAUCCUCUUUGUCUUCUGCCAAAGCUAAGGUCCUUAUUGAACCCGUUCUUUCUUCUUCCGGUGUUAUUGCUUCGUCACCAAACAGAAGCUUGAACGGGGUAAAUCCUGUUGACCUUGAGACAACAUUGUUGUGGUACCAUACCACUUUUAUCAACUCGUCUGGCCACUUUCCUUUCGACUGAUUGAAGAUUGACUUCAUUAUCCCUGUUAUUAUGAUUCCAUUAACUCGUUCUACCAAUCCAUUUGACUCUAGAUGUCUCACUGAUGCAAAAUGUAUUUUUACCAAUUUAGUCACAAAAAACCUUGAAUGUUUCGGCAUCAAACUGAGUUCCGUUAUCAACUGUAAUGGCCUUCGGUACACCGAAGCGACAAAUAAUAUUUUGCUAGAAAAUCUUUUGGACCGUGGCCAAAGUGAUUGUAGCUAGAGGUUUAGCUUCAAUCCACUUUGAAAAAUAUUCCAUCACUACUACAACAUAUUUUAAAUUUCCUUGCGCUGGUGGAAGUGGGCCUAGCAAAUCUAUACCCCACCUUUGCAAAGGCCAGGUGGGCUGGAUUAGCUGGGUUAGAGACGAAGGUUGUUUUUGGUCUCUGGCACACUUCUAGCAUCUUUCACAUUUUUGAACUAAAUCCGCUACAUCCGAAGCUGCCUUCGGCCAAUAAAAUCUUUGCCUAAAAACCUUCCCAAGUAACGGCCUUGACCCAAUAUGAGCUCCGCACAGGCCUGUAUGUAUCUCCUUCAUUAGCUCCUAACCUUCGGUUCUAAACAAACAUUUCAGUAAUGGAGAGCAGACUCCUUGUUUAUACAAUUCUCCCUCUAUGAUUACAUAGGGUCUUGUUCUAGCUUCCAUUCUUUUGAUAUAAGCUUCAUCAUCCAAAAGACAAUUCCCUUGCAGGGAAGAUACAAUCUCAAUCCUCCAAUCUUCACUAUGCACUGGUUAGAUUGUAAUCACUGCUCGCUCCAUGAGCUCGACUCAAGGGCUUUUAUUAUUUCAAAAAAUACUUCCAAAGGUAAUGGAAGCCCUUGUGUCGCUGACUUAGCUAAUAAGUUCGCAUGUUCAUUUUCUCCUCUUGGGAUAUUCUUUACAGAGAAACCUUCGAAAGAGGCUUCCAUCCUUUGGACUGUGUCCAGAUACUUCAAGAGCUUCGGGUUUCUUGCUUUACUACUUUUGUCAAUGUGACCUGAAAUAACUUGUGAGUCAGAUUUGAGGAUUGCCCUUCUUAUUCCCAUUGCCUUAAGCUUUUGAAGCCCCAACUUCAAAAGUUUUUUGCUAAAUUGGUCCCCACUGGAAGACUUCGGCUGACUUCAAAACUUUCGAAGAAUGGCAAGUUCCUUUCCGCUGAUCUUGAAAUAAAUCUAUUCAAUAAAAUCACAUUUGUUGCUUGCAGUAAUUAUUUGUAUGCAUCCACAAAUCAGUCAAAUUCUAAUUAUCACAUGUAGGCUAAUUUCCAAUACUAAACUACCUCAAAAUGUGUCAGAGAUCCAUUUUUUAUUAUAUUGCUAUAUCAAUAGCCUCCUUACCCUCAUCAAAAAGAUCACUCAACAGUCAUCCUGAAACAGGGCAUCCAUCAUUUCAAACAUAAAUCUGUUCACGUAUAGUUAGCCCCAUGAAGUUAGCAAAUGUUAGGGCCUUAGAAAAUUCUGAUGGAUACUAAAGUGAUAAAACCAUGAUAGACUAAUCUACAUAGGAAAUGGUUCAAGGCUUCAAGCAGGUUUUACAUGAUAGAUUUAGUAUUGUGACUGUUAAUUUUCAGAAUUUAACACAAGGUAAACUUACUAGUAAUUGCAACAACCUUCAUUGUAACCAUGGCACCAUGCUAACACAAACGUCCGCAUCUCAAUCAAUUUGACAAAGUUACCAUCAAUAUUGGGGCUCUAGGACCUCAACUGUAGUAGCAAUUUCCACGCAUGGCAUACCAUUCUUUAAAUACACCAUUGAUUUGAGAGGCUAUGAUGCAACACUCACUACUCUUAGUAGCAAUUUCAACAUGUUUCAGACAAAUGAUGAAAAACUCAGUACUCUCGGUAGCAAUUUCAACAUAUUUUAGAUAACUCUUUAAAAGACACAACAUUGGGAUUUGAGAGGCAUCAUAGCAGUUGCAUACCAAAAUUAAGAGUGUCAAAACUGUGUGUACCUACAUCACAGUAAAACUGAAGCUACACAAUGUUCUUCACUUAUCAACCAUACAAUACAACAUUAUUCGAAGUACACAACUUGGAUCUAGAAGCAUAAAGAUAACAAUAGUAAAAUGGAAGAGAAUUCACAGAGAGAAAUUGAGAGCACCUAGAGGGGGGGUGAAUAGGUGAUCCUGUAAAACUUAAACUUAUAGCCACAAAAACUUGGUUAAUCGUUAACACAAUAAUUGCCAAGUGGCUAGAGAGGAGCCAAAACACAAUAGCCACAAGAAAUCAAUCACAGAGAUGACACGGUGGUUAUCCCGUGGUUCGGCCAAGUACAAAACUUGCCUACUCCACGUUGUGGCGUCCCAACGGACGAGAGUUGCACUCAACUCCUCUCAAGUGAUCCAAUGAUCAACUUGAAUACCACGGUGUUCUUCUUUACUUUGAUCUUUUCCCGUUUGCGAGGAAUCUCCACAACUUGGAGUCUCUCGCCCUUACAAUUGAAUUUCACAAAGAAGUACGGAGUAAGGGAGGGAAGCAACACACACAAAUCCACAGCAAAAUGCGCACACACACGGCCAAGAAUCGAGCUCAAAAGACUAUCUCAAAGUUCUCACUAGAACGGAGCUCGAAUCACUGAGAAUGACAAACGAAUGCGCAAAGACUGAGUGUGGAUGAUCAAGAGUGCUCUAAGGUUGCUUGUGUAUCUCCUCCAUGCGCCUAGGGGUCCCUUUUAUAGCCCCAAGGCAGCUAGGAGCCGUUGAGAGCAAAUCUGGAAGGCCAAUCUUGCCUUCUGUCGUCGGGUGCACCGGACAGUCCGGUGCACACCGGACACUGUCCGGUGCCCGAUUUCUUUCCUUAAACAGCACUGCCGACCGUUGCAGAUCUGGGAGCCGUUGGCGCACCGGACAUGUCCGGUGCACACCGGACAAUCCGGUGCCCCCUUCCGACCGUUGGCUCGGCCACGUGUCUCGCGCAGAUCGCGCGGCCGACCGUUGGCCCGGCCGACCGUUGGCUCACCGGACAGUCCGGUGCACACCGGAUAGUCCGGUGAAUUAUAGCCGUACGCCGUCGGCGAAAUCCCGAGAGCGGUCUCUUCACGCCGAGUCAGCCUGGCGCACCGGACACUGUCCGGUGCACCACCGGACAGUCCGGUGUGCCAGACCGAGCUGAGUCUUGGCUAUACACAGCCAAGACUUUCGCCAUCUCUUUUCUUUUCUUCUUCUCUCUGUUUCUAACACUUAGACAAGUAUAUUAGUACACAAAACCAAUGUACUAAGGCUUAGAAACAUACCUUUACUCAUGAUUUGCACUUUGUUCAUCCAUGGGCAUAAACUCACAUUUAAGCACUUGUGUUGACACUCAAUCACCAAAAUACUUAGAAAUGGCCCAAGGGCACAUUUCCCUUUCAAUCUCCCCCUUUUUGGUGAUUUAUGCCAACACAACAUAAGACAACUAGAACAAGUGCAAAAUCACUUCAAAUAAAACUCAAAUUUAUUUUGAUUCAUUUUUGGCAUAUAUGGAUCAUCCUUUGCCACCACUUGGUUUGUUUUUGCAAAUCAAACUCAAAUCUCUAUCUCUAAGUCAAACAUACAUGUUGAAGCAAAAAGAGAGUCAUUCCAAAUGAGAUUGAUCAAGGAUUUCAAAAACUCCCCCUUUUUCCCAUAAUCACUACUUCUCCCAACAAGAAACCAACUUUUGACAAAAGAGACAACAAAAGAGUUUUGACACACCAAAAGCUCUACUCUACUAUUUUCAAAUCUCCCAAGUGGUAGCUGAUCCAUUUAUUGCUUUGGCCUUUAUUUUCUCCCCCUUUGGCAUCAAGCACCAAAACGGGAUUAAUUUUGGCCCCUUUAACCCCAUUGCCUCACCAAAAUCUUCAAUUAAGAGCAAAUGGCAAUAAGAGUUCAUGAGAUGAACUUGGAAUAAGUUACCCUCUCAUCGGAGUGCAGUGGAAGUCUUUCAUGGUCCAAGUCCACCUUUUCCCUUUCAAUUCUCCUUCGAGACUAAAUCAAGCAAACUCAAGCAUAUGGUUAGUCUCAAAGGAUCAAGUUGUAACACAUCUCCCCCUAAACAUGUGCAUCACUUUGCAACAGACUUGUGAGGUCCAGGGAGUGUUUGUACAGCUUGAGCACCACAAUAAGCAACAAAAUGCAGAAUGAACAUGAUCAAAGGCAUAAACACAUGUAUGCUACAAUUCAAUCCAAGUUCCGCGAAUCUAAGACAUUUAGCUCACUACGCAGCCUGCAAAAGGUCUUCUCAUCUAGAGGCUUGGUAAAGAUAUCGGCUAGCUGGUUCUCGGUGCUAACAUGAAACACUUCGAUAUCUCCCUUUUGCUGGUGGUCUCUCAGAAAGUGAUGCCGGAUGUCUAUGUGCUUUGUGCGGCUGUGCUCAACAGGAUUUUCCGCCAUGCGGAUAGCACUCUCAUUAUCACAUAGGAGUGGGACUUUGCUCAGAUUGUAGCCAAAGUCCCUGAGGGUUUGCCUCAUCCAAAGUAGUUGCGCGCAACACUGUCCUGCGGCAACAUACUCGGCCUCAGCGGUGGAUAGGGCAACGAAGGUUUGUUUCUUAGAAUUCCAUGACACCAGGGACCUUCCUAAGAAUUGGCAGGUCCCCGAUGUACUCUUCCUAUCGACCUUACAUCCAGCAUAAUCUGUGUCUGAAUAUCCAAUCAAGUCAAAGGUAGACCCCUUCGGAUACCAGAGCCCGAGGCAAGGCGUAGCAACUAAAUAUCUAAGGAUUCGCUUCACUGCCACUAAGUGACAUUCCUUAGGAUCGGAUUGAAAUCUAGCACACAUGCAUACGCUAAGCAUAAUAUCCGGUCUACUAGCACAUAAGUAAAGUAAUGAUCCUAUCAUUGACCGGUAUGCUUUUUGAUCAACGGACUUACCUCCUUUGUUGAGGUCGAUGUGUCCGUCGGUCCCCAUCGGCGUCUUUGCGGGCUUGGCGUCCUUCAUCCCAAACCGCUUCAGCAGGUCUUGCGUGUACUUUGUUUGAGAGAUGAAGGUGCCGUCCUUGAGUUGCUUCACUUGGAACCCAAGGAAGUAGUUCAACUCGCCCAUCAUUGACAUCUCGAAAUUCUGCGUCAUCACCCUGCUAAACUCUUCACAAGACUUUUUAUUAGUGGAGCCAAAUAUUAUGUCAUCGACAUAAAUUUGGCAUACAAACAAAUCACCAUCACAUGUCUUCGUGAAAAGAGUUGGAUCGGCUUUCCCAACCUUGAAAGCAUUAGCAAUUAAGAAAUCUCUAAGGCAUUCAUACCAUGCUCUUGGGGCUUGCUUAAGUCCAUAGAGCGCCUUAGAGAGCUUACACACGUGGUCGGGGUACCGUUCAUCCUCGAAGCCAGGGGGUUGCUCCACGUACACUUCCUCCUUUAUUGGCCCGUUGAGGAAAGCGCUCUUCACAUCCAUUUGGUACAACCUGAAAGAAUGGUGAGCGGCAUAUGCUAGCAAGAUACGAAUUGAUUCUAGCCUAGCCACAGGAGCAAAAGUCUCCUCAAAGUCCAAACCUGCGACUUGGGCGUAACCUUUUGCCACAAGUCGAGCCUUGUUCCUCGUCACCACUCCGUGCUCGUCUUGUUUGUUGCGGAACACCCACUUGGUUCCCACAACAUUUUGCUUGGGACGAGGCACCAGCGUCCAAACUUCAUUGCGCUUGAAGUUGUUGAGCUCCUCCUGCAUGGCCAACACCCAAUCCGGAUCUAGCAAGGCCUCCUCUACCCUGAAAGGCUCAAUAGAAGAGACAAAGGAGUAAUGUUCACAAAAAUUAACUAAUCGAGACCGAGUAGUUACUCCCUUGCUAAUAUCACCCAGAAUUUGGUCGACGGGAUGAUCCCUUUGGAUCAUCGCUCGAACUUGGGCUGGUGGUGCCGGUUCCGCUUCUUCCUCCAUUACAUGAUCAUCUUGUGCUCCCCCUUGAUCACACGCCUCCUGUUGAUGAACCUGUUCAUCGUCUUGAGUUGGGGGAUGCACCAUAGUUGAGGAAGAAGGUUGAUCUCGUUCAUCUUGUUCCUGUGGCUGAACUUCUCCAAUCGCCAUGGUUCGUAUAGCGGCCGUCGGAACAUCUUCUUCAUCUACAUCAUCACAAUCAACAACUUGCUCUCUUGGGAGCCAUUAGUCUCAUCAAAUACAACGUCGCUAGAGACUUCAACCAAACCCGAUGAUUUGUUGAAGACUCUGUACGCCUUUGUAUUUGAGUCAUAACCUAACAAAAACCCUUCUACAGCUUUGGGAGCAAACUUAGAAUUUCUACCCUUCUUCACUAGAAUGUAGCACUUGCUCCCAAAUACACGAAAGUAAGAUACAUUGGGUUUGUUACCGGUUAGUAGCUCAUACGAAGUCUUCUUGAGGAGACGAUGAAGGUAGACCCUGUUGAUGGCGUGGCAAGCCGUGUUCACGGCUUCCGUCCAAAAGCACUCGGGGGUCUUGUACUCUCCUAGCAUCGUCCUCGCCAUAUCGAUGAGCGUCCUGUUCUUCCUUCUACCACACCAUUUUGCUGUGGUGUGUAGGGAGCGGAGAACUCGUGCUUGAUCCCUUCCCCUUCAAGGAACUCCUCCACUUGAAGGUUCUUGAACUCUGACCCGUUGUCGCUCCUUAUCUUCUUCACUUUGAGCUCAAACUCAUUUUGAGCUCUCCUGAGGAAGCGCUUGAGGGUCCCUUGGGUCUCAGACUUAUCCUGCAAAAAGAAUACCCAAGUGAAGCGGGAAAAGUCAUCAACAAUAACUAAACCAUACUUACUUCCUCCUAUGCUCAGAUAGGCGACGGGUCCGAAGAGGUCCAUAUGUAGCAACUCCAGAGGUCUUGAAGUGGUCAUCACAUUCUUGCUGUGAUGUGCUCCUCCCACUUGUUUACCUGCCUGACAAGCUGCACAAGGUCUAUCUUUUUCGAAUUGCACAUUAGUUAAACCUAUCACGUGUUCUCCCUUUAGAAGCUUGUGAAGGUUCUUCAUCCCCACAUGUGCUAAGCGGCGAUGCCACAGCCAGCCCAUGCUAGUCUUAGCUAUUAAGCAUGCAUCUAGACCAGCCUCUUCUUUUGCAAAAUCAACUAAAUAGAGUUUGCCGUCUAAUACACCCUUAAAAGCUAGUGAACCAUCACUUCUUCUAAAGACAGACACAUCUACACUUGUAAAUAGACAGUUAUAUCUCAUAUUGCAUAAUUGACUUACAGAUAGUAAAUUAUAUCCCAGAGACUCAACUAAAAACACAUUAGAAAUUGAGUGCUCAUUUGAUAUUGCAAUUUUACCUAACCCUUUUACCUUGCCCUGAUUCCCAUCACCGAAUAUAAUUGAAUCUUGGGAAUCCUUAUUCUUGACGUAGGAGGUGAACAUCUUCUUCUCCCCCGUCAUAUGGUUUGUGCAUCCGCUGUCGAUAAUCCAGCUUGAACCCCCGGAUGCAUAAACCUGCAAGGCAAAUUUAGGCUUGGGUCUUAGGUACCCAACUCUUGUUGGGUCCUACAAGGUUAGUGCAAAUAUCCUUAGGGACCCAAAUGCAAGUUUUGUCUCCCUUGCAUUUUGCCCCUAACUUCCUAGCAACUAUUUUCCUAUCCUUAGCAAAGGAAGCAUUUAAAACACAAUAAAUUGUAGAAGGUUCAUUCACUACUUUCCUAGGAGCAUGAAUAAUAUUCUUUCUAGGCACAUGAUGAAUAGCAUUUCUCCUAGACAUAUUUCUACCAUGCAUAUAGGAAGAACUAGAAACAAACAUGGCAUGGGAGUCAAAAUCAUCAUAAGCAUUAUAACUCCUAUAAGCAUUUCUAGUUUGUCUCCUAUCAUGAUACAUAAAUGCAUGAUUUCUUUUAGUACUACUUGCCAUUGGGGCCUUCCCUUUCUCCUUGGCGGAGAUGGGAGCCUUAUGGCUUGUUAAGUUCUUGGCUUCUCUCUUGAAGCCAAGUCCAUCCUUAAUUGAGGGGUGUCUACCAAUCGUGUAGGCAUCCCUUGCAAAUUUUAGCUUCUCAAAAUCACUUUUGCUAGUCUCAAGUUGGGCAUUAAGACUAGCUACCUCAUCAUUCAAUUUUGAAAUAGAAGCUAAGUGUUCACUACAAGCAUUAAUAUCAACAUCUUUACACCUAGUGCAAAUUUCAACAUGUUCAACACAAGAGUUGGAUUUAUUUGCUUCUACUAGUUUAGCAUUUAAAUCAUUGUUAACACCUUUUAAAGCAGAGAUAGUUUUAUGACAAGUAGAUAGUUCACAAGAAAUCAUUUCAUUCCUUUUAACUUCUAGAGCAAGAGAAUUUUGUGCACUAACAAAUUUAUCAUGCUCUUCAUACAAAAGAUCUUCUUGUUUUUCUAAGAGUCUAUCCUUUUCAUUCAAAGCAUCAAUCAAUUCAUUAAUUUUAUCUAUUUUAGUUCUAUCCAAACCCUUGAACAAGCUAGAGUAGUCUAUGUCAUCAUCAUCACUAGACUCAUCACUAGAAGAAUCAUAAGUACUAGCGUUACGAGUGAUUACCUUCUUUUCCCUUGCCAUAAAGCAAGUGUGAUGCUCGUUUGGGAAGAGGGAUGACUUGUUGAAGGCGGUGGCGGCGAGUCCUUCGUUGUCGGAGUCGGACGAGGAGCAAUCCGAAUCCCACUCCUUUCCAAUAUGUGCCUCGCCCUUUGCCUUCUUGUAAUUCUUCUUCUUUUCCCAUUUUCCACUCUUCUUUUCCUGGUCACUAUCAUUAUCGGGACAAUUAGCGAUAAAGUGACCAAUCUUACCACAUUUGAAGCACGAGCGCUUCCCCUUCGUCUUGGUCUUGUUGGGAUGCUCCUUGCGACCCCUUAACGCCGUCUUGAAGCGCUUGAUGAUGAGAGCCAUUUCUUCAUCAUUAAGCCCGGCCGCCUCAAUUUGCGCCACCUUGCUCGGUAGUGUCUCCUUGCUCCUCGUUGCCUUGAGAGCAAUGGGUUGAGGCUCGUGGAUUGGACCAUUCAACGCGUCGUCGACGUAUCUCGCCUCCUUGAUCAUCAUCCGCCUUAGCAUUAGGCGGACGACGUCGUGGUCCGUCCAUCGCGUGCUUCCAUAGCUCCUUAUCUUGUUGACAAGGGUCUUGAGCCGGUUGUAUGUUUGGGUUGGCUCCUCCCCCCUUAUCAUAGCGAAUCUCCCAAGUUCGCCCUCCACCAACUCCAUCUUGGUGAGCAUGGUGACGUCGUUGCCCUCGUGAGAGAUCUUGAGGGUGUCCCAUAUCUGCUUGGCAUUGUCCAAGCCGCUCACCUUAUUGUACUCUUCCCUGCACAAAGAUGCUAAGAGAACAGUAGUAGCUUGUGCAUUUCUAUGGAUUUGUUCAUUUAUAAGCAUAGGGCUAUCCGAGCUAUCAAAUUUCAUUCCAUUUUCCACAAUCUCCCAUAUGCUUGGAUGGAGAGAGAAUAAGUGACUACGCAUUUUGUGACUCCAAAAUCCGUAGUCCUCCCCAUCAAAGUGUGGAGGUUUGCCAAGAGGAAUGGAAAGCAAAUGCGAAUUCGAACUAUGUGGAAUACGAGAAUAAUCAAAUGAAAAGUUCGAAUUGACCGUCUUCCUGUAGUCGUUGUCGUCGUCCUUUUGGGAAGAAGAGGAUUCGUCGCUGUCGUAGUAGACGAUCUCCUUGAUGCGCCUUGUCUUCUUUUUCUUCCCAUCUUUGCGCUUGUGGCUUGAGCCCAAGUCGGUAAACUUGUCAUUCUUUGGCUCGUUGAAGAUAGACUCCUUCUCGUUGUUGUCGACCACCAUCCCCUUUCCCUUAGGAUCCAUCUCUUCGGGCGAUUAGUCCCUUCUUGAAGAGAACGGCUCCGAUACCAAUUGAGAGCACCUAGAGGGGGGGUGAAUAGGUGAUCCUGUAAAACUUAAACUUAUAGCCACAAAAACUUGGUUAAUCGUUAACACAAUAAUUGCCAAGUGGCUAGAGAGGAGCCAAAACACAAUAGCCACAAGAAAUCAAUCACAGAGAUGACACGGUGGUUAUCCCGUGGUUCGGCCAAGUACAAAACUUGCCUACUCCACGUUGUGGCGUCCCAACGGACGAGAGUUGCACUCAACUCCUCUCAAGUGAUCCAAUGAUCAACUUGAAUACCACGGUGUUAUUCUUUACUUUGAUCUUUUCCCGUUUGCGAGGAAUCUCCACAACUUGGAGUCUCUCGCCCUUACAAUUGAAUUUCACAAAGAAGUACGGAGUAAGGGAGGGAAGCAACACACACAAAUCCAUAGCAAAAUGCGCACACACACGGCCAAGAAUCGAGCUCAAAAGACUAUCUCAAAGUUCUCACUAGAACGGAGCUCGAAUCACUGAGAAUGACAAACGAAUGCGCAAAGACUGAGUGUGGAUGAUCAAGAGUGCUCUAAGGUUGCUUGUGUAUCUCCUCCAUGCGCCUAGGGGUCCCUUUUAUAGCCCCAAGGCAGCUAGGAGCCGUUGAGAGCAAAUAUGGAAGGCCAAUCUUGCCUUCUGUCGUCGGGUGCACCGGACAGUCCGGUGCACACCGGACACUGUCCGGUGCCCGAUUUCUUUCCUUAAACAGCACUGCCGACCGUUGCAGAUCUGGGAGCCGUUGGCGCACCGGACAUGUCCGGUGCACACCGGACAGUCCGGUGCCCCCUUCCGACCGUUGGCUCGGCCACGUGUCUCGCGCAGAUCGCGCGGCCGACCUUGGCUCACCGGACAGUCCGGUGAAUUAUAGCCGUACGCCGUCGGCGAAAUCCCGAGAGCGGCCUCUUCACGCCGAGUCAGCCUGGCGCACCGGACACUGUCCGGUGCACCACCGGACAGUCCGGUGUGCCAGACCGAGCUGAGUCUUGGCUAUACACAGCCAAGACUUUCGCCAUCUCUUUUCUUUUCUUCUUCUCUCUGUUUCUAACACUUAGACAAGUAUAUUAGUACACAAAACCAAUGUACUAAGGCUUAGAAACAUACCUUUACUCAUGAUUUGCACUUUGUUCAUCCAUGGGCAUAAACUCACAUUUAAGCACUUGUGUUGACACUCAAUCACCAAAAUACUUAGAAAUGGCCCAAGGGCACAUUUCCCUUUCAGAAAUCACCCAAAACAACAAACAAACUUGCUCAUACCAACCAAUUCCUCAAAUGGUUGCGCCAUUACUCCUCGCCAACUUGGCCCAUCCGUGUGGAAUGAACCUGGACACUGGACUGCAUAGAGACAUAAUUAUAGCAGUGUUAAGAAACAAUAUAAAAACCCAAACUACCUCGUCCAUCCAAUCAACGGUCUCUCAGUAUAACACUUUGUAUAACUAUAUCGUCAAAAACACGUUGUAUAACAAUAUUAGUUACAGGAGGUACUACUUGAAACCACUAGAUAACAUUGAUGGUUCCUGGUUGGUUAAAUCUAACCUAGUUAGUUGCAUAAAACAAAAAUGGGCUACAUAACAGUGUGGUUGUUCUUCAGAUAUUAUGUCAUGUGCACAAAUGAGCACCAAAUUACCAAUUCAGUGGUGCUUGGAGAAUAUUAAUCAAACGAUAACCUAGCACACUUCGCUUUCUAUUAACCAUGAAUCUAGAAAUGUAGAUCUAGCAGGCAAAUCAUGGUGCUCAUGUGUGGACUAGAGGGUAACUUCCCCAACAUUAGAGAGCUUCGAUUAUAGAUCAAAGAUAGGGGGCUCGGAUCGCUACCUCGACACGUCGUUGGAAUCCUAGGGAGCAAACUUGGUGGCAGGGUGUUCGCCUUCUCCAGCGUUGCACUGCCACCGAUUUGUCGCCGCCUCGUUCGAGUUUGUCUCUUCCGGCUCGGUCGAUGGCGGUUGACGUAGCCGGCGUCCUCCUCGACGAAUCUACCAGGCGGGGAGUUGAUGGGUCACGAAUCUAGGACUCCGUGUCGUCCUCGGCUGCCCAAAGAAGAGCUCCGAGUCGUAGAGGCGCGGGAGAGCAGGAGAGAUGGCGGCGUGGGCUGAGGCGACAGGAGAUGGGGGGGGUGAAUCCGCCAUGGCAGGGGCGCAACUAUUGCAAGGGUGAGGUGCGCGGCACAGCUGCUACGCGGCGCGACGGGGGGGGCAACGCUGGGGGCGAGAGACACGGCUGGUUAGGGCUUUUUUGGUGGCCGAGAGGGGUUAAUGGCUUCUGCUGCUCCAUGCCUCCACGUCCUUGCCUUUUGGGCUGAUUCCUGCUGGGUCAUGGCAUUGCCAAACCCCAGUCUGGCUAGACUGUCUUCGUCAUUGACCAGAAGCAACAUUAGAUCAGGGCUCUCUCUAGUUAAAGAGAGCUCAGGGCUUCUAAUAUAUAUAUAUAUAUAUAUAUAUAUAUAUAUAUAUAUAUAUAUAUAUAUAUAUAUAUAUAUAUAUAUAUAUAUAUAAGGGAAAUUUGGAAAUUCAGUUCUUAGAUUAAGGAGCCCUGUCAUAAAGACACUAAAUUAAGCAGCAGAAGGGAGCCAGAAAGUAGGUGAUGGAAAUCUGAAAGAGAUUAUACACAAGAUAUAAGUUUGAACAUCAAUACAUACACACAAAAAUAACUCCACUACCUCAGAAAUACAAAAGGAAUGAACAGAUAAGAACAAGCACUUGAUUUUUAAUACUAAUAAUCAAAUCACCAGAGCGCAUCCUAAUCAGGGUUGUUCCUGAAAGCAACCGUUGGUAGGAAUGGUAGGACCCGGUUCCACCCACAAGGCAUCGAAUAUCAUUGGCCGCCCCCUGCAAAUGCACAGAAAAAUGUGCCGAUGUCGACUGCGCGUCUGCGCCAGCACCGGUUGGUCUGGUCCGCAGACUUUGCGAGGUCUCCCUAAACAAUUCAUGAUUUUUUUUUGAGCUUACGAAAUGGGAGUUGGGUGCAGAAGACUUGGCCCAGAAAUAAAAAAAAAGAAGCUGUGUGUUGGUGCUGUCCUAUAUGCAUGUCCCAAUCCCAUCUCCAUGUAAUGGUCUUCUUCCCUUCCCAUCCAUCGUCCGUGAGCUCCGAGCGUGAGGGCGAGAGGCGUCGCUAGCUGGCUCUCACGGCCGGCAAAUCUGCGAUCAACUGCAGGUGUGUACUUGCCUGCAACUCAUGGAGAUUCAGCAUGCAUCGCACAGUUUGCUUGUUUAUUCUUCUCUAAAAAUUGGUCGUCAUGGGCCUGGUCAACUCGUCCUGCAGACUCUGCUCUAGCACUCUGCAGGCUCUGAAACUCUGCGUCUCAUGGCCAAGAUUAGUUCACCGUAUCGAUCACUGCUGACCUUUCGACCUUGAAUGCAGACGCUAGCUGUCGUGCAAGUAAGUAGGUUGACUUGCCAGAGGUUCAGGUUCUGGCUCUCCAGUCGAGCCUAACCUUUCUGUUUACUUGAUUCUGUAGUGUGUGCGUGUAUCUCCAAUAAAUCCUAAACUUCGCGUGAACUUCGACUCCGCCCUGAUGGAAUAUUAGGUACUCAGCAGCUAUCGCGUUCUCUAUCUCAUUUUUAUUUGAAACUUUAUAAAUCUACUACUUUAUAUAUGACCUGCUACGAACAGUUUUACAAUCAUCGGCGGACCAAAUUCAACCGAGGUAGUCACAUCUCUCAUGAGUCAUCCUCCAACCAUUCCUCCAACUCCUUAUGUAUAUUUUCUAAUCUAUUUUACUAUAUCUAAUAAGGGCUAGUUUGGAAGUCACAAAACGGAGGAGAUGGGAGUGGCUAAAAUCCCUUCUUUAUAUAAUUUUGAAUAAAGAAGGGAUUUUAGCUCCUUCAAUCCCCUCCGGUAUUUGGACUCCCAAACUAGCUCUCAAAAAUUUUUCUCUAAAUAUAGGACGUCCUCAACUAUUUCUCCCAAAAAGUAUUCAUACGCACUACACUAUAACUCAGUUAAUUAGUAUUUAUUUAUUGUUUUUUCUUAAAAUUUUCAAAAAUAUACAAUAUUUGUGUUAUCAUACUACACAUUAUUAUAAUGUUGUGGGGCUUAAAAUAAAACUUAUAUAGUAAAGAAAUGACAUAUUUAAAGUAUACGAGGAGCAUGGUACUCCCCUGUAUAUAUGUAUAUAUAUACAGGAGAUUCGUCCACCGUACAUAUAGGGACUCUUUGUAUGUUUGGUCCGAGAAGCUUUGCCAUAGAUAGAUGGAAUCAGGCCAGCAGGGGACUGUCUUCGGUAGAGCGUGUAUAUGAUCGUUCAAAACAUUAUUUUACACUGUAGACUAUACUGUUUGCAGAGCGAAGUUUGAAACAGAGGCAGUUUAGUCGAGAUUAGCCUUAGCCGAGGGGUUAUGUGGUUUUUCUAAACUCACUCAACUAACUAGGAUUUACCUAGAGCAAGUGCUAGAGCGGUCUAACUAACCUAAGCACUUCGCAAAGCAGCUACGCUACUCACCGAGUGAUCCUAUUAAGCACUUGAGUGUAUGAGCACUUGAAAAUGUCUAUACUAUGUCUUGGUAUGUUGUUUGGGCUCCCACACCUUGAAAUGGCCGGUUGGGGGUAUUUAUAGCAUUCUCCCCCAAUUAUAGCCGUUGGAAGAAGCAGCAGCUUUCUCUCGACGGGCGCAUCGGACAGUCUGGUGCACACCGGACAAGCACUGUUCACUGUUCGGUGCCCUGCCACGUCAGCCGACCGUUGGGGUCUGUAGCAGUCGAUCGUUACCCAGACUGUCUAGUGCACACCGGACAGUCCGGUGCUAUAGCCCGAGAGUGCUCGUUGUGGACCUCUCUGCGCAUACUGUCCGGGUGUCCCACCGGAUAGUCCGGUGCACACCGGACAGGUACGGUUCACUGUCUGGUGCACCACCAGUGCGCUGGCGGACUGCCCACUUCAUGGAUUUCUUCGUUGUUUCUUUUGUGCUUCUUUUUUCUUAAGUCUUGGACUUCUAAGCUCUUUUUAUGUCUUCAUUUGAGGUGUUGCAUCUGAAGUGUCUUAGUCCAAUCAUCUUCACAUCCUGUGAACUAUAAAUAUAAACACUAGCAAACAUAUUAGUCCAUAGGUUAUGUUGAUCAUCAAACACCAGAACCUUUUGAGCCAAAUGGCAUGGGGUCCAUUUUCCUUACAGGGAUGGAGAUGAGGAAGCAUUUGUCAUCCCUGUUCCCCGCGGGGACCCGUUAAACUUACAUGUGACGAUGUUUUUAUAUAAUACUUAAUGAUAAAAAUAAAUAAUGAUCUUGUGAAGAGAUCAUCCGUUAUACAAAUGUGUUCAUUUUGGUGUAUAUAUAAUGAUUUAACGUCUGACAAUGUGUAUAAGUGAUAAUAUUUUAUAUUAAUAAUAAAUGAAGUAGGAUCUAAUUAUAAUUUAAACGGGGACGAUGAUCUCCGACGAUUAUCUCUGCGGGAAUCGGGGAUGGAGAAAAAUAUCCCACGCAAGCGUUUGUAGGAAUCGCGCGAGGAAAAUUUUUAUCACUAAUUUUCUUAAGGGAUUCCAAUUUUUCUAACGGGGCGUUUGGAUCCCUUCAUUUUAAAGGAAUUGGAAUUCAAUCAAUAAAGUAACUUAUUUAGUUUGGAAUUUGGCAUUCCACCACUUUGCAAAGUUCAGAUAUAAGCCUAUCUCAAAUUCAUAGGGUGGAGGAUAGGAAAUGAUUUUAUGCAUCAGUAGAAUUUGUUUCUACUCUGUAACUUACAUGACACUCUUUGUCUCACUCCUUUAUAGUAAAAAUGUAGUACAUAAAUAUCUUUGACAUCUUGCUAAUAAAAAUAUACAAAUAUAUUUUGCAUAAAAGCGAAUUAGUUUAUUUGAUAUAUGCCUAAAUUAUUAUUAUUAGAAUGAAAUUUAAUUCCAAUGAUCCAAACAGGGCGUAAGAGAAAAUAAACUAAGUUUUCUUAGGAAAUGAAAAAUCCUUUGAAAAAAUAAGGUUUCCAAACUAGCCGAAGACGGAUAUGAAGAGCUAAAACGGAAUUCUGCGUUGCAUCCCUGGUGCACGCACCGACGCACGUUGCUUGUCAGUUGUGGGCUGUAGCAGUCCACCUGUGGGCCGAAUCAGGCUCUUGUGCUCUUUUCUGGCCCACAUGAUUAUUGAUUUAUUGAUGAGGAUCCUUCUCACCCAGUCCUUGCCGUCCUCCUGCGUCAUCCACUCCGCACUCAUCCGGUGCUUGCGCGGUCUCGUUGGAGUUAUUUGAGAUUGUAAUAAUCUCGUCGCGCGGCUUCGCCCCUUUGGUACUCCGCAGCCGCGCAUCGCCAGUAUGGUAUUAUGGAGCUCACAGCCUCGCCAGUUUGGGACAUUUAAUCCCCCGCCCUCUGUUAACGUAUGUUUUGCAAAUCUUAAUGCCGGUUGUGUUCCCCUUCGGACUAACAUACCCCUACGGGUUUCUUGCGCUCGGUUGGCAGCCGGACUAACGCGCGCCGCCGUCUGCCAGCUUGGGGACUCGACUGCUCGCCACCAGGUGCUCACCUCCAUUCCCCAGCUUCCAUCUGCGAGCGCUGCCGUCUGCCAGCAGGGGCACUCGCCACCAGGUGCUCGCGCAAUCCUCCGUUAUCCUGCUUCCAUAUGCGCGCGCUGCCGUCUACCAGUGAGAUGUUCGCGCCAUUUUCUGCCAGCAGCCAGAUUUCCGCCCCACCCCCUGCCACCGGACAGCUGUCGUCGCCACCUCCUUGCAUCCCCAUGGUUUCCCCUGUGGAAAGAGUGGAUCUACCUGUUAGGAGCUCGGAUUUGUCUGAUCCCCAAGAUUUUCUGUUAGGGGAUGAACAGAGAAUGGAGGUUUGAUAGAAAUAUUGUCCAGCAGUUUAGUUUUUGAUGCAUCUUAGCCGAGUACUUCAUAGCUCUCUUAAUUGGAUGUUUGCAGGUAUUAGAAAUUGAUUGGGGGGCAAUACAAAUUGAUGAUAGAUGGGAGGAAGAAGGAGAACAAGAGACUGCCUCUGAGUCAUUGAUGUAUGAUCGGUUAGGAUUGUUAGCUGAAGAUGAACGUGAAACUACUGAAAGGCAAGAGACUGUCCGCCAAAGCGAUGAAUUUAAUGAUGAAUUGCCCUGCACUGAUUGCAUACCACAAGAAAGGGUAUUUGAGUGCAAUAGAUCUAAUCCAGUAAUGAAGAUUGGGAGUUUGUACAAGGAUAUGAAAGAAUUUAGACUGGCUAUCAGGCAAUAUGCAAUUAAUAAUGAGUUUGAGUUAGGGAUUGAGUCAAGCUCACCAUUCAGAUAUCGAGCUUAUUGCAAAGGAGGUGAUUGUCCAUGGAGAAUCAAUGCAAGGCUACAAAAUGCCGGGUCUCCCACAGUCGUUGUGAGUAUUGUUGUAUCACACAUUGUUUGUACUUUGGAUCCUAAAUGAAAUUUGGGAAGCUCACAAUGAAUUUUAUAUUGUUUGCAGGUUACAGUUAUCGUGGAUAAGCACACAUGCACUUCUAGUGGUCGUCGAAAAACAACAACACCCACCAGCUCAUGGGUUGCUUCCCUAGCAAUGCCAUUCCUUACGAAGAAACCACAUAUGGGAGCUAAAGAAUUGCAAAAUACCUUGCAAGAGCAGCACAAUUGGUCUUCUGGCAACCAGCACUGGCCAUCUCCCACCAGCAAAUUGACACCAGAAAUUGGCACUGCUUCAUUUCCAGUCGCCAGAUACGUCGUUGCUUGCUGUUGCCAGUGCUGGUCUUCUGGUGUUGUCCAAAAUGAAGCUGGCCAUCUGCAAGGAACCCAGGAACUACCAGAAACUGGCCAUCUGCUUGAUUUCAGUCGCCAUCUGCAAGGAACCCAGAAACUAUAGCUACCAGAAGAACAGCAAAAUGGCACCAGAAAUUGGCACUGCUUCAUUUCCAGUCGCCAGAUACGUGUCCAAAUGAACAGCAAAUUGGCACCAGAAGAACAGCUUCUUUUUACAGUUACCAGCUUCUGUCCAAAUGGCCAUUACACAUGUCCAAAUGACAGAAAUUUGAAUGGACAGAAAAUAGUAAACUGGAAACACAAGUUCAAGUUACCGAGGGCCAUAUUCAGAUAACCUUAAUGAAAACAGAAUGGACAACGUUACAAAAGCUAUCGAGUGCCAUUCAACACUCGACAGAAUGGACAACCCAGGUUGACAGUACUUCACUACCAAGUUCAGUUACCUUACACAAACUAACUAUUACACGGAUACCUUACACAAGCUGUCCCUUACACAAAUAACACAUAUAGUGCCGUUAAACAACACCCAUAUUACUCUACUUCAUCUGACGAUCCGAAAGCUCUUCAGAACUGACAUCAUCCAGUGCCCAUUCCCCACCACCCAUUUGUUCAUCUUCAGCAAAUUGGUUGUUGAACUGCUCCGAUAAUGGUGGCGACGGACCAGCUUCGAGAUCAUCUAAACGCUGUGCUUCGUCCUCAAGUGACAGAGCAAGUUCAUACACGCGCCACAUUGCGAAGUUCACUGACACAUCUUUGGCCGUAUCUGGCGAAUUCAUAAUCUCGUCUCCAGCCAAAUCUUUCAACUCCUUCCCAACUACACGCAUCUUUGUAAUGGCUUGGGCGAGGUCACUACGAACUGUUUCAAAUCGGGUAAUCUGCGAAACCACAAAAAUUGCUAUUGGAUUUGAACAUAGUACUGCAUAUUAUUGAACUUAGUUCAACCCUUACCGACACUGAACGAGGUGCCGAGCAGUGAUUGACGCCGGCUGUGAGCUCUGUUCGACAGAAAACAGUUAACAAUUAAAGCCACUCUCUGCUUCUAGCACUAAUGGUCACUAGACAGUUUGGAUAAAAACAGUUUCAAAAUACAGAACUCUACAAAUAUCACUGCCCAACGUCAACAGCUUCACAUCCCUCUAGCUUCGUGCGCAACAUCCAACGUUGGGCAGUUAACCCCACGAAGCUAGAGAAGCGGCAAGGAACUCACCUGCACAACCAACGUCAAC